AUGGCCGGCGAGGACCGCCUGUCCGGACUCCACGACGAUCUCCUCCGGCGCGUCCUCCACUUCGCCCCAGCCAAGGAGGCCGCGUCCACGACCGCGCUCUCGCGGCGUUGGCGCACGGCGCUCUGGCGCUCCUCGGGCGCCGUGAACCUCGAGACGUGCGUCCAGAACUACAGGCACGGACUCUACAGUAGUACGCGCGAUGAAGCCUUCUACUCGGGCCGUGAUACCUUCGUCUCCGCGGCCUUGGCGGCACUCGACGCCGCCGACGGCGGCCACGUCAAGAGGCUCACCUUACGCCUGUCUGACCGCGACGACACAGCGCUCGACGAUUUCCUGAACCGCAACCGCCACAGCUGCUACGAGGAUUCCGAACACAAGGUGGUCGACGUCCUGCUCUCCCACCCCGCCGCGCGCCGGGCGGAGGAGUUGAGGCUGGUCGCUGAAGGACAUAGCAGCGAAGCUUACGAGGACAGGGAGAUCUGCUGGAGUCAGGUAGGUGUCUAUAGGCUCACCCUCGACUUCCUGCCGCUGGAGACUCUCCGUGUGCUGGAACUCACCAACUGCAAGGGCCUCGGCGUGCCCAAGGCCGCCGCCGCGGUCGCGCUCCCGCUGCUCUCGUCGCUGCGGCUGCGGCAUUGUGUUCAGAGCCUUGGCUCCCUACAGUGCAUCAUCGACGCCGCACCGGUGCUCUCUGCCGUCUGCCUCGAGUCUGUACAGAUAGACGACCACGACAUCAAAGACUACUACUACAUCGAUGACAACGGGGAGGAGAUCGAUCCCCCGCUGCCCAAAGAAGAUGGACUCCUCGGCCUCAGUUGCCCAGCCGCCACCCUGCUCGUUCUGGAGAGGUGCAUGUGGAAGAAAAAAGACUACAUGCCUCACCGCAACCGCUCCGACAAUGAGAAACCCGUUGCCCUUGUCGCUGCGGAGAUCCACGCGCCGAGGCUGCGUAGAUUCAGGUACAAGGGGCUUCUCCGGCCGUUCUCAUUCAGUCCACAGCCGCCGGAGAUGGAACAAGUGGACCUCGAAUUUUUCCCGGACACCGACUACAGGAACAAUGAUCCAGACCGUGAUCUACUAGCGACCUUCUGGCGACUCGUCCGGAGCUUCACCAGCGCCAAAGACAUGAAGCUAAGCAUAAAGCUUGAGGCGAUAGCUGUGGUCAGCAAGGCGAGGCAGGCCGAGCUUCUGCCCGCCUUCUCCAGCCUCAAGCGUCUCGAGUUGCAUGGAGUGCAUGGGGAGAAUGUCAAGAAGGCGGCCCUGGGGAUCGCGAAUCUGCUCCGUUGCUGCUCCGUGCUCCGUGACCUCCGGAUCAACCUCACCACAGAGGACCAUCACACCUCCAAAAACCAUGAGCACACUCGUGAAUUCCUGAAAAGGAAAUUCCGAUCUAGCCGCGACAACCCGGUCGAUCGUUUUGAUUGCGGCUGCGAUUCCGAGGAAGGACAUGAUGAGGCCAUCAGUAGUGUUGCAUAUGAUGAAGUUUCUGAAAUUCCUGCCUUGAGUCAACGCUCGUUCGAGUGCUUGCAGAGCUCACUGAGCAGAGUGGGUUUGCAAUUCCGGUUUGAGAAGUUGAACUGCCUUGGUGUCAAGCUCAUCAAAUUUUUCGCUGAGAAUGCCAUGGUUUUGGAAGAAAUUCACAUCGAUAGUGGAAAUGGAAGGUUUUGCCGGGACGUGCGUCGCAAGAUUGAAACUUGUAUAACGCAUUCAUCCAAAAGGGGAAAUCAAGAAGUACCAAGCUUUGCGGUGUUAACUCUUAAGAGAUGA
rnacentral:rRNA from 1 species